GCCUUCGUGGUGUAAUGGUCAGCACACUGGGCGCGUAUUCGAGAGGUCGAGGUUCGAGCCCCGGCGAGGGCA
rfam:Stegodyphus mimosarum contig103016, whole genome shotgun sequence.